GUCUACGUGUGACGGCGAGCUGAGUCACGCGUUCAGCCGUUCACCUGGCUCGUAAUUACUUGAGAGAAAUGAUGUAUUUGCGAGUUAUUGCGCCAAGGAUUCCGAGACAGAAGCAGCUUGUGCUUGUGCUGUCUGUUAGCCGAGCCAAGUGAUUGCGUCGUCGGAAGACAGAAAUAAACCUGGAGCCCUUCCCUUGGGUUUCCUCCACCGCGCCAGCAGCAGCAGCAGCAGAGUCAACUCUGCUCGAAUAGAAAUAUCGUCUCGAAAAGAUAUUUCGGCCAAUCGUCGCUCCCUUGACGUGAUUGGUACGCAGACACCCACUCUCGAUUCGUUUCUUCUUCUCCGGAACUAUUCCCGCUAUUAUCUCUAUUCACUUUGAUAUUUAAUUUACAUAAACUCGCGAGUUCAUUUUUCACACAAUUUGGUGUGAUUGAAUGAAUUCUAUUAGCUAUUCAUUCCGUGAUGGUGUCGGAGGUUUUUCUUUUUUUCUGACUUGCUUAAUGGGCGUAAAACCGUGAGAAACCCCAUGGAAAAGUUCUUUUUCAAUUCAAGUACAACCGGAAGAAGCUAUGGAAUCGUCUUUCCGUUUAAAAAAUAAAUAAAUGGAGAAAAAACCACAAAA